AGUGAACGUUGGCGGCGUGGAUUAGGCAUGCAAGUCGAGCGAGAACCGUAGCAAUACGGGGACAGCGGCGAAAGGGACAGUAAUGUGUAGGUACCUACCUCCGGGUUCGGGAUAGCUGCGGGAAACUGCAGGUAAUACCGAAUAACGUCUCCGGACCAAAGGUGUGAUUCCACCUGGAGAGGGGCCUGCAUCCUAUUAGCUUGUUGGCGGGGUAACGGCCCACCAAGGCGACGAUGGGUAGCGGGUGUGAGAGCACGACCCGCGUCAUUGGGACUGAGACACUGCCCAGACACCUACGGGUGGCUGCAUUCGAGGAUCGUCGGCAAUGGGCGCAAGCCUGACCGAGCGACGCCGCGUGCGGGAUGAAGGCCUUCGGGUUGUAAACCGCUGUCGUAGAGGAGGAAGUGCAGGGGGGUUCUCCCCUCUGUUUGACCUAUUCUAGGAGGAAGGACGGGCUAAGUUCGUGCCAGCAGCCGCCGUAA
rnacentral:rRNA from 1 species